GAUGAACGCUAGCUACAGGCUUAACACAUGCAAGUCGAGCGGCAGCAUGAUUGAAGCUUGCUUCAAUCGAUGGCGACCGGCGCACGGGUGAGUAACACGUAUCCAACCUGCCGAUAACUCGGGGCUAGCCUUUCGAAAGAAAGAUUAAUACCCGUUAGUAUAGUAUUUCCGCAUGGUUUCACUAUUAAAGAUCUUCGGUUAUCGUUGGGGAUGCGUUCCAUUAGAUAGUUGGCGGUGUAACGGCACAACAAGGCGACGAUGGAUAGGCGAUCUGAGAGGAGGAUCAGCCACACUGGAACUGAGACACGGUCCAGACGCAGACGGGAGGCAGCAGUAGGGAAUCGUCGGCAAUGGGCGAAAGCCUGACGGAGCAACGCCGCGUGAGUGAUGAAGGUCUUCGGAUCGUAAAACUCUGUUAUUAGGGAAGAACAAAUGUGUAAGAAACUAUGCACGUCUUGACGGUACAUAAUCAGAAAGCCACGGCUAACGGCGUG
rnacentral:rRNA from 1 species